rnacentral:lncRNA from 1 species
UGGGGGGAAUAGUUAAAAUAUCUCAGGGAAGUAGUUAUUAGGAAUAGAUUAAACCAUAAAGCACGUUCACUUUUGCCACUUACUAUUCCCACACACUGGUAAUAACACGAGCAGAGAUCAUAAAACAAAACUUCGAACAUCCAAUACGGUUUCACAGAGCACUCAGCUGUUGUAGAACAGGAAAACAUUAACAGGAAGCAGCGGUUGACGGUCUCGCUGGUUUUUCAACUCAAAAGGGACUCCUAGGGGUCUCGUGCGCGGGGUCUCUGGACCGCUCAGGGAAACUGUGUUGGAGAGACCAAGUAAAGUUACUUACGUAGACAAUCUGGACAAGACCUACUACCAUACAACAAAGGAGGAAACUUGUGGAACCUCUGCACUGGGAAGAACUCUGAAAGAAAUGAAGAAAGCCCUCAGAAAUGAAGUUGGUGACCUCGCGG